AGGUUCGCAGGCAGCACAUUUUAGUUGAAUGAAUGAACAAACAGGUGCACACACCAAGGACCCCUAUUAUUUACCCAGCUCCCGUGUACACCCGUCCUUGGGGCCCUGGCCUGGCCGUGAGCACCCCUUCCAGCCUCGUCACCCGCAGGUUCCCUGCACCUCAGACACUCCUGCAAGGGCCACCCCAGCCCCUACCCCGCCCGCACGGCUGCCCACGCGGUGCCCAUCUCUGCUCUCAGCCUCCCAGCUGUGCCCAGGCUGCUGGCACCCUGAUUCCAUAGCCUGCCCCGGUGUGCCCGCACCCCGGCCCGCACACAGUCUCUCCCUGCGAGGUCUGUGCUCCCAGCAGGGCUGGCUCCACCCUGCCUGCCAGCCGGCCUUCCCCUCCGCUCCCCCUGGCGGGCUGUGGACACAGAGGACGUGCACCAGCCUUGCUGGUUCGGUGAACUACGAUGCGCUGCUGUGAGUGAGCACACGGGCGGGGCCUGUUUGCAGAGCAGGAGUCACACGUCACGGCGACGCCUCUGAAGGCCCGGGUCACUGACCUGUCCACCCUGCUGCCCUUCCCCACCCUGCCCUGCCCAGCAGCUCCGGGCCCGGCUGGCGCUGCUGGGCCGCUGGGCCCUCCCACGCCCGCCGGUGGCUGUCCUUCCUGGAGCCAGCAGCGUGGCCGCCCGGCCUCGUGGCGGUGGCCAGUCUCACCCUAAUGCUGUUUACUCUGAAAUAAACAUGGUCUUUUCUGGUUGAUCAGAAAAGCAACUUU